AACAACAUAAAAAUGCUAACUUAAACCAGCUAUUCGCAAAACCAUUUACCCAAAGAACACCUAGACAUAUGUCCAUAGAACCACAAACAUCUACAUACGCAGAUAGUUUGCAAAACCAAAAUGAGAAAAAGACAUAUAACUACAUCACACGAACCUAUAUCGAAAAUAUACACAAAAUCCAAACUUAUUUAAACCGCAACCCCAUAUCAAUUACAAAAGAACCAAACCAAGAUU
rnacentral:lncRNA from 1 species